CCCACCGGGAGGACGAGGAUGUCGAACCCAGGCUGCGGCGCUGGUCCGGGCCUCCGGGUCUCCAUGGGGAUCGGACCGUCCUCGGGCGAUCUCAGAUUCCUCUUCCCCAACACCUCCGCCGCCUGAUAGAAAACAGAGGUGAUGAUCUCCGCCGGCCGGCCUCCAGAUCCCCAGCGACUGCGAGGUGGUCGACGCGCGCCCACUCCCGGCGGCCCUCCUUUUCGCCGCCGUCCACGCCUCCCCCACCCAGGAACUCCUCCGCCUCUUUGCCGCCGCGCCCGUGAAGCUGAUCCAGGCCAAGUCCUGGACGCUGGAUGAAGAGGCUCCUGUUCGAGGAGAAGAGGCAGGAGCUGCUCCCUGUCCCUGGUGCCGAUGGAGGGGGGAAGGAGGAGCCACCAUCAGGUGCUGAUGCUCUCCGGUGCCGAUGGAGGGGGGCAUCAACAACAUGAGGUGGUGGUAUUCAAGAGGUAGAUGGAGGACAUGGUUGUACUGGGUGAGGGCGCUUCUCCGAGGAUUGGUGGAUGGAUACUUCUCUGUGCCGUUGGCAGUGCGGGAGGGGAUGGCCAGGAAGCAGGUUACCAAUGGCGUGCUCUUUCAGUCAGAACAGUAUGAUGGGGCCCUCUAGGCGGGAUGGCAUGGACACAACAUCAAGGAUAUCGAUCAUGAUGGAUUCAACCAGUCUGCUCGACAUUGGAUGCCAUAAUAUGCUUAUGAUGUUGGUUAACGGAGAUUUAACUACUCGAGGAGGUUUGAUGAAGAGCUCGCUGGGCGAAUUCUUCGGUGGGUUCAGCCGGCGCAUGACACGGACACUCGGACAAGGUCGAGCCGGCGGCUAGGCUUAGCCAUAAGGAGCGCUGUGGAGGUCAUGGGCGGCAAGGGAAGUAAGUGGCAACACGAAUGGGGCACCAUGUUGCAAUGAAGGGCGUGGGCUUAUGGGGUUUUGACUCUUUGAGUCAAGCUUACUGGGCUAAGGGCACCCGAUAUUUUCUUGAUUCUGUUCCAGCACCAGUUUACCACGGUAAAGACAAUCCACAACCUUAUGAUUAGAAGACUGGAUGGUUGUUGUAAAUUAUCAUCCUCUUUUUGAAGUGGGUGAGAGGCAUGGUAGUUAUUUUGAAUUGUGCCUCAAAAUAGGUAAACAUCACUUCUCCUUUGUGGACGUGCAUUGUGCUCAUCGAUAAGUUUUGUCCCGAAAUUUUUCUCAUUUGAGUCUUGCCACAUUUGGUAUUGUUCGAUAUGCUAUUUAAUAUAUAGUGUGUGCUCCCACCUCAGUUGAUCAAUUGUUUUUCACUUAGAAGCGGGUGAUUGAUGAAUCAACUAU